rnacentral:rRNA from 1 species
GACGAACGCUGGCGGCGUGCCUAAUACAUGCAAGUAGAACGAGUUGCGAACGGGUGAGUAACGCGUGGUAACCUGCCUCAUAGCGGGGGAUAACUACUGGAACCGGUAGCUAAUACCCCAUACCAUCAGAUGUGCCCAGAUGGGAUUAGCUAGUUGGUGGGGUAACGGCUCACCAAGGCGACGAUCCCUAGCUGUGCUGAGAGGAUGACCAGCCACACUGGAACGGAGAAACGGUCCAGACUCCUACGGGAGGCAGCAGGGGGGAAUAUUGCACAAUGGGCGCAAGCCUGAUGCAGCCAGGCGGCGUGUAUGAAGAAGGCCUUCGGGUUGUAAAGUACUGUCAGCGGGGAGGCGUUACCCGCAGAAGAAGCACCGGCUAACUCCGUGCCAGCAGCCGCGGUAAUAC